rnacentral:lncRNA from 1 species
CGAUAUGGGUCCACCGUCAACUCCGACGGCACCCAACAGUCCGGAACAGCCUGAACGCUACUAUAAAAAUACACUCGGUAUCCCAGCACGAGCGGAACUGAAAACUAAACUACCUGUUGUAUCCGUCGCCUCGAUACUGUGACGAUACAAAAUUACAACGGCUCCUAGAGCUAAAUCAGGUAGUGUAAACAGGUGACAGGUCCAAAACGCUGGUUUUCUCCUAAGUCAAAUUCCAAGUCCAACAUGUAUACUUAUGGUUUGCCAAUCAUGUCCUCAAUGCUGCUUUCAUCCAUGAUACAAUCAACAAAAAUGAACUACAACAUGAUUUACAAAACUGAAAAUCAUACAU